CAUUUGUGGCAGAUCUCUGUACGCCUAUUGUAAGCAGAACAUCCUGCCUCUUUUGGCAUGGUUUCCAAAGGCUGCUCAACUAAGUUCAGUAGAACAAACUUUUUUUUUCUCUCUCUCUCUGCUGAAGAAGGAAGACAAAAAAAAAAAUCCUGCAAGCUAUUCCCCACGUUUCUUGCUUUCUUUUCUGAUUUUUUUUUUCUUUUUUCAGAGUUCUUUACUUUCGUUUCAUUAUAGCUUUUUAUUUUUAUUUUUAUUUGAUGACAUCGAGGAGUUAAAGCAAAACCUUAACCGCUCAAUCCUCAGAAGGGAAAAACUGACUCAAAAACUAAGGAUCUGCAAAAACUUCAGAUCAAUCUAACAAUGAGGACAAAAUGUACAACGUCGAGAUGUGCACAGAGGGAUGUGUGACAGUAGUGCAAUGCAUCGGUUACCUUCCUAUUGAAAAAUCUCCCAUUGGACUGUACAGUUCACCGAACAGAAAGCGGCUAUGGCUACAUACUUCUUUAAGAGUCUUGGCUGGUCCCAAGUAUUAAAUGUACCAAUAAAUGUUUAGAGAUGGCCACAUAAGCCGUUGUUCUAGAUAUAUACACCAAUCAACCAUUACUCCAUGACCACUGACAGAUGGACCGCUCCUCAGCAUCCUCACUUGCAUUGGAGAGCUAUGGUCCCUGCACUGGUCUUGAUGACAUCAGAGGACCUCCGACCACCAGAGCAUAGAGAAGAACAGGUUGCAUGGACUGGUAUAGUAACACAGAGGAGACUGCAGAGCAAAGGAUCAGAUCAUUAAUGCAGAGUUCCCGUAUGUGGUAAGUUUGUGGUGUACACCGGACAAGACUGGAGAGCCUGGCUGAUGUUUCUAGGCCAUGUGGAGGUUCAUGCUAGCAGUGCAAGCCCAGAAUCGCUCAGUAGAAUCUAUAUUCAUAUUCGUAUAAUGUCUGCACCUUGCCAUGACUAAUAUUUAACCUCUCCAGUGCAAGCUGCCAUGUCCCUGACUGCCAGAAAACGUCACACAGGAGAAAAGCAGGCCAGCCUGGUCUGGGAAAUUAGAGCUCAAACAAAAUAAAUCUUAAAAAAAGAUGUCUGCACAUUUCGUGGACAAUCCAUAUUACAGGGAAUUUAUCUAUUUAGAGAUAUUAUAAUCUUAAUAAAGUUUUUCUUGAAUAGUACAAAUAUUUAAAUUGCACCCUAUUUAUUGAAGACCUGGUUCAUCUUCAGCCCAAACAUUUUUUUUUUUUUUUAAUAGAUUUUUUUUUCAGUAAUUUUUUUUAUUU